AUUGAACGCUGGCGGCAUGCUUUACACAUGCAAGUCGAGCGGCAGCGCGGGGGCAACCCUGGCGGCGAGCGGCGAACGGGUGAGUAAUACAUCGGAACGUGUCCCGUAGUGGGGGAUAGCCCGGCGAAAGCCGGAUUAAUACCGCAUAUGCUCUACGGAGGAAAGUGGGGACUCGCAAGGGCCUCACGCUAUGGGAGCGGCCGAUGUCCGAUUAGCUAGUUGGCGGGGAAAAGCCCACCAAGGCGACGAUCGGUAGCUGGUCUGAGAGGACGACCAGCCACACUGGGACUGAGACACGGCCCAGACUCCUACGGGAGGCAGCAGUGGGGAAUUUUGGACAAUGGGGAAACCCUGAUCCAGCCAUGCCGCGUGUGUGAAGAA
rnacentral:rRNA from 1 species